rnacentral:rRNA from 1 species
CCCUUAGAGUUUGAUCCUGGCUCAGAUUGAACGCUGGCGGCAGGCCUAACACAUGCAAGUCGAGCGGUAGAGAGAAGCUUGCUUCUCUUGAGAGCGGCGGACGGGUGAGUAAUGCCUAGGAAUCUGCCUGGUAGUGGGGGAUAACGUUCGGAAACGGACGCUAAUACCGCAUACGUCCUACGGGAGAAAGCAGGGGACCUUCGGGCCUUGCGCUAUCAGAUGAGCCUAGGUCGGAUUAGCUAGUUGGUGGGGUAAUGGCUCACCAAGGCGACGAUCCGUAACUGGUCUGAGAGGAUGAUCAGUCACACUGGAACUGAGACACGGUCCAGACUCCUACGGGAGGCAGCAGUGGGGAAUAUUGGACAAUGGGCGAAAGCCUGAUCCAGCCAUGCCGCGUGUGUGAAGAAGGUCUUCGGAUUGUAAAGCACUUUAAGUUGGGAGGAAGGGUUGUAGAUUAAUACUCUGCAAUUUUGACGUUACCGACAGAAUAAGCACCGACUAACGCU